GGGGUUGUGGCUCAGUAGUGGAGUACUUGCCUAGCAUGUAUGAGGCCCUGGGUUCAAUCCUCAGCACUGCUU
rnacentral:tRNA from 1 species